rnacentral:rRNA from 1 species
GAGCGUGCUUUCGAUACGGGUUGACUUGAGGAAGGUAGGGGAGAAUGGAAUUCCUGGUGGAGCGGUGGAAUGCGCAGAUAUCAGGAGGAACACCAGUGGCGAAGGCGGUUCUCUGGGCCUUUCCUGACGCUGAGGAGCGAAAGCGUGGGGAGCGAACAGGCUUAGAUACCCUGGUAGUCCACGCUGUAAACGGUGGGUACUAGGUGUGGGGUCCAUUCCACGGGUUCCGCGCCGUAGCUAACGCUUUAAGUACCCCGCCUGGGGAGUACGGCCGCAAGGCUAAAACUCAAAGGAAUUGACGGGGCCCCGCACAAGCGGCGGAGCAUGCGGAUUAAUUCGAUGCAACGCGUAGAACCUUACCUGGGUUUGACAUGGAUCGGGAGUGCUCAGAGAUGGGUGUGCCUCUUUUGGGGUCGGUUCACAGGUGGUGCAUGGCUGUCGUCAGCUCGUGUCGUGAGAUGUU